GCUAGGAAGAGGAGCAAACGAACGUCCAAGAGCGGUUGGCAUGGGAACAUGGAGGAAAGCCCAACACAGCCUCUCCUCUAAAUUUAGGGGUUGAGAUGUGUCUCGCUGUUUUCCCGAUGCCUCUCAUGCCUAUUGUUCUUCGGUGCUCCUUCCUCCUCCUCCGUGCU
rnacentral:pre_miRNA from 1 species